rnacentral:rRNA from 1 species
UACAGAGGGUGCAAGCGUUGUUCGGAAUCAUUGGGCGUAAAGAGCGCGCAGGCGGUUUGGUAAGUCGGAUGUGAAAACCCGGGGCUCAACCCCGGGCGUGCAUCUCGAUACUGCCCGACUAGAGGUAGGUAGGGGAGAUCGGAAUUCCUGGUGUAGCGGGUGAAAUGACGCAGAUAUCAGGAGGAACACCGGUGGCGAAGGCGGAUCUCUGGGCCUUACCUGACGCUCAGGCGCGAAAGCUAGGGGAGCGAACAGG